GACGAACGCUGGCGGCGUGCCUAAUACAUGCAAGUUGAGCGAUGAAGAUUGGUGCUUGCACCAAUUUGAAGAGCAGCGAACGGGUGAGUAACGCGUGGGGAAUCUGCCUUUGAGCGGGGGACAACAUUUGGAAACGAAUGCUAAUACCGCAUAACAACUUUAAACAUAAGUUUUAAGUUUGAAAGAUGCAAUUGCAUCACUCAAAGAUGAUCCCGCGUUGUAUUAGCUAGUUGGUGAGGUAAAGGCUCACCAAGGCGAUGAUACAUAGCCGACCUGAGAGGGUGAUCGGCCACAUUGGGACUGAGACACGGCCCAAACUCCUACGGGAGGCAGCAGUAGGGAAUCUUCGGCAAUGGACGAAAGUCUGACCGAGCAACGCCGCGCGAGUGAAGAAGGUUUUCGGAUCGUAAAACUCUGUUGGUAGAGAAGAACGUUGGUGAGAGUGGAAAGCUCAUCAAGUGACGGUAACUACCCAGAAAGGGACGGCUAACUACGUA
rnacentral:rRNA from 1 species